AAGAUGGCUCAUGCUUUUGCAUU
rnacentral:sRNA from 1 species